UGUAGUAACAACGAACCACGAGAAGUCAGCGAAGCCAUAGUAGUUAUGAAGUAUCUGUAAUGGAUAUGGAGCGAAGGGC
rfam:Mogibacterium pumilum strain ATCC 700696 genome.